rnacentral:lncRNA from 1 species
AUGGCUGUUUCCUCUGGGGAGCAGGGUAAAGGCCAGAGAGUACAGCCUCCGUGGUCCGUUCCUACUGAGCCCAGCCAAGCCAUGUAAGCUUCACCUUUGCAACAGCCUCACUGGGAGCAAGGACACAUUUGUACCUAUAGGUGGGAGAAAGGUGACAUGGUCCAGGCCGACCAUCUAAGGUGCAUGUCACACAGGGCACGCCAGGUCCUACAUCUCUUUCAUUAUCUUGAGAAGAGUGUUGAAGGAUGACUUCAAAUGUGAUGUCCUUUAUUGCAUGAAUAUUAGGGACAUUGGUGAUAAGAACUACUUGUUGAGGAGUAUAGGGAGAAGAAGUCCCAGGUGGCACAGCUGCUAGGGAAUGUUCACACUGCCCUGAAGCCAUUUUCAGUAAAAUUCAAUGAGACCACAGAUCCUGAUAAAAAGCAGAUGCUGUAAUGAAUUCAGCACACAGUGAAGCUUGCCACAGAACCGCCUGAGAAAGCUGUGUAGUGCAGACUUGCUGGAGAGGAAGUCAACAGCUGUGUGCAAGGAUUGUUGGAAGAGGCCAAGGAUUUGCUUUCUGAGUUGCUGGAUUCCACAUUCUGGAGUCAGGUGACUGACAAUUUCAUUUUCUCCAAACUGCCCAAGUUCUGGGAUGGGGAGUUCCACAAAUACAUGGACACUCUGAACGUCCUCUCUCUGGAUGUUUUAACCAGAGUUAGUGCGUAUGUGCCAGAAAUUGUGAAUUUUGGCGAAACUGUGAAUUUUUUCCAUAAGAUUGUGGACAAUGGUUGCAGCUAUGCUUCCAAUGGGUCCACUUUGAUAUAGCAAAGUUUGCUUCUAGUGAGAAACACUGCUAUGGGAAGCUGGUGCCCAAAGCUGUUAGGGAUCAGAAAGCUCUUCAGGAAAA